GUUCAGCAUUGUUCAAACUCAUUGGACGGUCACACAUUUUCCCAUUUGUUUGGGAGAUUUUGUUAUGGUUCAGUGAAAACAAGGAAGAACUUUUUGUCCAUAAUUCUGAAAGGUGAGUCUGGUGAAAAGAGAACACCGCUCAUCAUCAAAAGAACACCAUACUUCAGUGAAAUGCUGGAACUGGGGCCUUAGUUAAGGUGGAGGAGAAUUCUUAAGAGUAUGAUACGGCAGUGAGAGUUAGCACAUAAUUUCAUGCAAACUGUCAGGAAAAGUUUACCCGAACAGCUGAAAUUCAUCCGGGGUCAAUCGGAGGCAUAUUAUCAGGUGUCUGCCAUCUCUCAUUUAACAGUUUUCAUGGCGUGAUUGGCUCAUGUGAACACAGCCACAUCCCCACUUAUUUUUAAUUCCUCUCCCAAAGAAUAUUUUUUUACUCUUGUCAAACAA